GCCCGGUUGGUUAAGCACCUGACUUCGGCUCAGGACAUGAUCUUGCAGUUCGUGGGUUUGAGUCCCACAUUGGGCU
rnacentral:tRNA from 1 species